CACACCACACUACACAGAGAGAGGGGUUGGGUCAAGUUCUUUGCAGCCGUCAAGCCAUCGAGCAGCGAAGUCUGGUUCAGUUGAGCAAGGGACUUCGUUCGGGAAUACAGUCCCGUUCUGCUGGUGUGUAGAAACGAGUUUUUUUACGUCCGAGUCGAGUCGAGACUGGUCGUUUGUCGUUAUUUUUGUUCACCUUUUCCCCGUUCCGUUUUCAUCCGGUGAUAUCAGUGUGUUUGUUGGACCAUCGAGUGGAUGUAGUAGGUGUAUCGUAUUCCCCGGAUUACCUGCCAUGUCAUCCAACAAUCAGAAAAUCUCCACCACGGAGCGUGUGAUUAAAAGUGUGCCGUUCCCGCCGAGUCGCAAAUUGUCUGUGGCCGAAGUGUUUGACACGAAGACGGGCAAACCUCGUCCGGAUGUGCUCAAGCAGCAUUUCAUUUUGGAGGGCCGGAUCGAAGAGGCGGCCGCCCUCCGCAUCAUCAACGAGGGAGCUGCUCUACUCCGCCAGGAGAAGACGAUGAUUGACAUUGAAGCUCCCGUCACAGUUUGUGGCGACAUUCACGGACAGUUUUACGAUCUGAUGAAACUGUUUGAAGUGGGCGGAUCGCCGGCCAAUACCAAGUAUCUCUUCCUGGGCGAUUACGUCGAUCGAGGAUAUUUCAGCAUAGAGUGCGUCCUCUACUUGUGGGCGCUGAAAAUUUGCUACCCGACCACCCUGUACCUGUUGCGGGGCAACCACGAAUGCCGGCAUCUGACGGAGUACUUUACCUUUAAACAAGAAUGUAAAAUCAAGUAUUCGGAGCGUGUCUACGACGCUUGCAUGGAGGCGUUUGAUUGCCUUCCGCUGGCCGCCCUGAUGAACCAGCAGUUCCUCUGCGUCCAUGGCGGUCUCUCGCCAGAGAUCCAUUCGCUCGAUGACGUGCGAAAGCUGGAUCGGUUCAAGGAGCCACCGGCAUUCGGUCCCAUGUGUGACCUCCUCUGGUCUGACCCCCUGGAAGACUUUGGCAAUGAGAAGAAUGCCGAACACUUUUCACACAACUCUGUCAGGGGUUGUUCCUACUUCUACAGCUAUGCAGCCUGUUGUGAAUUCCUUCAACAGAAUAAUCUCCUGUCAAUUAUUCGAGCGCACGAAGCUCAAGAUGCUGGUUACCGAAUGUAUCGGAAAAGUCAGACGACCGGUUUCCCUUCGUUGAUAACCAUAUUUAGCGCUCCUAAUUACUUGGACGUGUAUAAUAACAAGGCGGCCGUGCUUAAGUACGAGAAUAAUGUGAUGAAUAUCCGGCAGUUUAACUGCUCGCCUCACCCUUACUGGCUACCCAAUUUCAUGGACGUCUUCACUUGGUCUCUGCCCUUUGUCGGAGAGAAAGUGACGGAAAUGCUGGUUAACGUCUUGAACAUUUGCUCCGACGACGAACUCGUCUCUGAGGGCGAGGAGAGCAUCGAAGACGCUGCCAUCCGUAAAGAAGUGAUUCGCAACAAAAUUCGAGCUAUCGGCAAAAUGGCCCGCGUCUUCUCCGUCUUGAGGGAAGAGAGCGAAAGUGUGCUCCAACUCAAAGGGCUCACCCCCACUGGAUCCUUACCGCUCGGCGCCCUCUCUGGAGGCAAAGCGACGCUAAGAAACGCUUUGCAGGGAUUCUCUCCCACGCACCAAAUCAGGUCGUUUGAAGAGGCCAAAGGUUUAGACGCCAUCAACGAGCGCAUGCCACCUCGCAAUGACGCUCCGCCGCCGUUACACGCGUCGUCCAAUUCGUCGAGCGUGUCGCCCGUCUCACCGAUUGCGGCGGCGGCGGCCGCCGUCGUGGCCGAGGCCAGUGCCAAUUCGCACGUGCCCAGCGUCAGCGUCAACAACAACAGCAGCGCAGGAGGAGGAGGCGCUGGAGGCGCGGGCAGCAACAAUGUCCACUCCAAGAGUAACUCGCACGUCCCGACCGCAAGUGGAGGUGGUGGUGGUGGUGGCCACGGUCACUCCUGAGCCAGUCGGCAGUGAUUUCGUUUCGUUUUCUCUCUCGUUUAUUUUUUUUUUCUUCUUCUUUCAAUUUUUGUAAUUCCCGCCACCACCACCCCGCCGCCGCCCGUUCAGCCUCAACUCGACCCGGUCCCACUAGACGGAGGAUUGGAAACAAAAUGAAGGGGAAAAACAAAAGAGAAACAAGUUAUUAAAAAGAAAAUGACAUCACACACAUGUGGGAGAAACACAAAAAUAACGUCGCUCGUUUGAAGAUCCUGCCGCGUUCGGUUCCUCUCAGUUUCAAAUUUUCAUUUUUUUUAAAUUCUUUUCCCCUUCACACAUUUUUUUUUUCGUGCGUGUGUGUCGUCCCGUCGGUUUCUCUUUAGCCAACAUCACACUUAUAUAAUUCUCUCUCCUCGUCUUGAAUUUAAAGAAAGAUUUAAAAAAACAAAAAAAAUUAAUACUAUUUGCGUGUGCGUGUGUGUGUGUGAGCGUUACGAUUUCUUCAUAUAUAUUCCUUCCUACCCCUCCUGGAAAAAGAAAAAUCUCCUGCAAAUCACUAUUACGCUCUUGAAAUUUUUUUAAAAAAUCCCUUUUUGUCUGUCAAACAAAAUUUUCUCCCUUUUUCGCUUUCAUUUUUCCUUGGACCCCUCGUUUUUUGGUUGUUGUUGUGUUUCGUGGGGCGUGUUUUUGGGUGAGGACUUGCGCUGUCUCGUUUGUUUGAUUUAUAUAAUUAUUUCGUUUUGAUUAUUAUUUUUUUUUUCAUUUUGUUGUGUGUUUGCGAUGGAUGCUUUUUUGUUUUUUCAUCAUCCUACUGGCCUCCCGUCGGCUCUCUCUUUUCUCUCUUACAGAUCUGAAAAGUCAUCGCUCGAUUAUUAUACAAUUAAAAUCCAUGACAAGAAAAAUAUUAUCCAAUUUGUUGAAACAAAA